UUGCCAUGGAAAUGAACCCCUGUGAUCUGCAGACUGUUCUUUUCAAAGACCUGUAGCUGUGAGGAACCUAAUGGUCUUCAUUAAUGAUGUACUGUCAUGAAGACAACCUGAGGCUCAAUACUAGAGGUACUGUUGCUUUCUUGAUGCUAAAUAAAUAACCGGCUACAAUAGAGACAUCUAUUUCGACAGCAAUGAUUAACUAGCACAGCCGUGUCCCUCCCAAGAAGCAGCUCCUUUUGACAAGAUCUACUUGGACAUUGAAUGAUCUCUGCUGUCUUUUGUCCAUGAGUGCUCCAGGAAGUCCCCAGAGUAUCACCACAUCUAGCUGAGGCUUCAGAGAUGUGUUUAUGAGCUU